rnacentral:rRNA from 1 species
ACCGGCGGCUCGAGUGGUGGCCACUAUUACUGGGCUUAAAGCGUUCGUAGCUGGCUUGUUAAGUCUCUGGGGAAAUCUUCCGGCUCAACCGGAAGGCGUCUCAGGGAUACUGGCAGGCUAGGGACCGGGAGAGGUGAGAGGUACUCCAGGGGGAGGGGUGAAAUCCGGUAAUCCUUGGAGGAAGAACUGUGGCGAAGGCGACUCACCAGGACGGCUCCGACAGUGAGGAACGAAAGCUGGGGGAGCAAACCG